rnacentral:snRNA from 12 species
AAAAAGGGCAUCUGCUGUGAUUGGCAUAGCUGUGGAUGGUUUUCUGACACAGCUACGGAAUCGCUAUCAAGAGAUUUCGGAUGCACAAUUUUUAUAACCCGAGGCUGCCAAUGAUCGCCAAUCUUGGUGCCUCA